GACAGAGGGUGCAAACGUUGUUCGGAAUUACUGGGCGUAAAGCGCGUGUAGGCUGCUCUGUGUGUCGGAUGUGAAAUCCCCGGGCUUAACCUGGGAACUGCAUUUGUGACUGCAUGGCUGGAGUGCGGGCAGAGGGGGAUGGAAUUCCGCGUGUAGCAGUGAAAUGCGUAGAUAUGCGGAGGAACACCGAUGGCGAAGGCAUCCCCUGGGCCUGCACUGACGCUCGAUGCACGAAAGCGUGGGGAGCGAACAGG
rnacentral:rRNA from 1 species